ACUUGCUUGUAGUCAAACAGAAGGCAGAGCUGCGAAUCAAAUCCAGGUUUGUCUCGACAUGCCACUAGCUCAUACUUCCCUUGGAUCAGCCACUAAAUGGCUUUCACUCCAGUGAGCAGCGACCAGCACCAGAAUUAUGGAACAUUUAUCAACAGCCUAAAAUAAAGACAACACGAGGAGAAUUUGGUUGCUUAUAUAGAUUCAAGGUACAAUCCUGCUGGAUUCUGGGAUUACAGGACUGUAGACAAAAGAGAAAUCAUCAUGGACUGUUCACUGGACAAAAUUUCAUGGAGAGGAGAAGACCUUUGGCGGUUCAUGGAUGUUCUAUAAUAAGUUAGAAGUACGACCAUGUGAAGAGGUAGCAAGAGAGCAGCAAUCUACAAGCCAAGGAAAGAGGCCACAGAGGAAACCAACCCUGCCAGCAUCUUGAUCUUGGACUUCCAGCUUCCAGAACUAACCAGGGACCCCACUCCCAUGCCGACAGUAUGGGCUGCUGUCUUCAGGACCAUUGCAAGUGUCCUUCACGGUUCGGUUCACAUUUCACAAGCCCCAUGAAGUCUAUCUGGAUUUUCGAUGGAUGUCUUGCCUUUUCCUCUACACACUACAGGAAGAGUGGCCACCCCUGCCAAGGGCCUAGUAUAGUACCCUAUACAUGUAGCUGAUCAGUUGAUUGUUACUGAUCAUAUGUAUCCUGCAUCAUGUUAUAAAAAAUUAACACAGUGCUUGGCACAUACUUGUACUGAAUGUCAGAGCUGCAGCAUGAUCUGGAGGCUUUCCUCGCUUUCUUCUGCUUCCCCUCCCUUGAUCCUUCACAGGCAUUUUCCUCAAUACAUCUCUUGCCUGGCUAA
rnacentral:lncRNA from 1 species